rnacentral:tRNA from 1 species
GUCCACGUAGCGCAGUGGGCAGAGCAUUGGGCUAGUAUUCCAAAGGUCGUAGGUUCGACUCCCACCGUGGCCA